rnacentral:rRNA from 1 species
ACGUUAGCGGCGGACGGGUGAGUAACACGCGGGUAACCUACCUAUAAGACUGGGAUAACUUCGGGAAACCGGAGCUAAUACCGGAUAAUAUUUCGAACCGCAUGGUUCGAUAGUGAAAGAUGGUUUUGCUAUCACUUAUAGAUGGACCCGCGCCGUAUUAGCUAGUUGGUAAGGUAACGGCUUACCAAGGCGACGAUACGUAGCCGACCUGAGAGGGUGAUCGGCCACACUGGAACUGAGACACGGUCCAGACUCCUACGGGAGGCAGCAGUA